GAAGGAUAUCAAACAUCAAAUUUAUUUACAUUAACAGAAGAGGGCAACUUCUUUUAGGAUCCCCUUCACAAUCAGUAGUUUUUUUUUUUUUAACUAUGCAGUUCAACAAUAGGACAAAUGACAUGAUUUACAGAUAGUAAUGGAGAUGAGGGAGGUAUUAUGGAUCAACAGGUCCUGCCAUUGCCUCAUCAUCUGAGUCAUAUUCAGCUUCACUUAACUCCUCGUCACUCGACUUGUCCUCCGGGACAGCUCCAACGUCUUCUGGCUUAGCAUAUUUUUGACAAUAUUCUUUAACUCUUUGUUCAUAUGCAGUUCGGUCUCGCAUCAUCAGGGCAGCUGCCUCCCCAUUCAAUGGGUCCGACGGAUUAGGAUACAAGAGAAGUUGUGGGAGAAACACUUCAAACACAUUUGUCAAGUCAAACAUGGGACUCCAGGUCUGGUUGAUAACAUCUAAACAAAC
rnacentral:misc_RNA from 1 species